AUUGAACGCUGGCGGCAUGCCUUACACAUGCAAGUCGAACGGCAGCGGGGGAGAAGCUUGCUUUUCCUGCCGGCGAGUGGCGAACGGGUGAGUAAUACAUCGGAACGUGCCCUGUAGUGGGGGAUAACUAGUCGAAAGAUUAGCUAAUACCGCAUACGACCUGAGGGUGAAAGUGGGGGACCGCAAGGCCUCAUGCUAUAGGAGCGGCCGAUGUCUGAUUAGCUAGUUGGUGGGGUAAAGGCCUACCAAGGCGACGAUCAGUAGCUGGUCUGAGAGGACGAUCAGCCACACUGGGACUGAGACACGGCCCAGACUCCUACGGGAGGAAGCAGUGGGGAAUUUUGGACAAUGGGCGAAAGCCUGAUCCAGCAAUGCCUCGUGUGUGAAGAAGGCCUUCGGGUUGUAAAGCACUUUUGUCCGGAAAGAAAUGGCUCUGGUUAAUACCUGGGGUCGAUGACGGUACCGGAAGAAUAAGGACCGGCUAACUACGUGCCAGCAGCCGCCGUAA
rnacentral:rRNA from 1 species